rnacentral:rRNA from 1 species
AACGAACGCUGGCGGCGUGUCUUAAGCAUGCAAGUCGAACGAUAACUCGAAGCUUGCUUCGAGGGACAGUGGCAAACGGGUGAGUAACACGUGGGUAACCUGCCUUCGGAUGGGGGAUAGCUCUAGGAAACUAGUGGUAAUACCGCAUAAUACCGAUUGGUCAUAAGACCGCUCGGUUAAAGGCGCUUUCGGGCGUCACCUGAAGAUGGGCCCGCGCACUAUUAGCUAGUUGGUAGGGUAAUGGCCUACCAAGGCAGCGAUGGUUAGCCGGCCUGAGAGGGUGUACGGCCACAUUGGGACUGAGAUACGGCCCAGACUCCUACGGGAGGCAGCAGCUAAGAAUAUUCCGCAAUGGGCGCAAGCCUGACGGAGCGCCGCCGCGUGGAGGAUGAAGGCUUUCGGGUUGUAAACUCCUUUUCUUAGGGAAGAAUAAAGUCGGCAGGAAAUGGUCGACCGAUGACGGUACCUAAGGAAUAAGCCCCGGCUAAUUACGUG